rnacentral:rRNA from 1 species
CUGGUUGAUGGCCCGCAGUCAUAUGCUUGUCUUUAAGAUUAAGCCAUGCAAGCCUAAGGAUAAAUAUUUUAUUCGUGAACCUGCAAAUAGCUCAUUAAAUCAGUUAUAAUCUACUCGAUCAUAUCCUUACUUGGAUAACCGUAGUAAUUCUAGGGCUAAUACAUGCAAAAAGCCUAAACUGGGGAAACUCGGAAUGGGUGUACGUAUUGGAUCCCAAAAUCAAUACAAGGUAUCUAAACUGCAGUUUAUUUCACGAUUUGCUGUGGGCUUUGUUUAAUCUGUCGAAACACAAUAAAUUUACAAAUCACAAAUCUAAUUUGUGAUGAUUUGAACGAGUUUCUGCCCUAUCAACUUUCGAUGGUAAGGUAUUUGCUUACCAUGGUAUUGACGGGUACGGGGAAUUUGGGUUUGAUUCCGGAGAAAAGGCCUGAGAGACGGCCAUUACUUCCAAGGAAGGCAGCAGGCGCGUAAUUUGCCCAAUGUCAAUUCGACGAGGCAGUGACGAGAAAUACCGAUAUUGGUUCCUACGGAAACAAUUAUUGGAAUGAGAACAAUUUAAAUACAUUAGCGACUAACUAUUGGAGGGCAAGUCUGGU